UUUGGUUGGCGUUGAAAAGGGUUUUGAAUUAACGGCUUAAACAACUUCUAAGGCUACGAGAACCACCUGUGGGGGGCGAUAUGUUUCUUGCAUCAUUUAAUCUAAGCAUAUGCAGAGGUAGUGAUGUGUGAUCUUGGACUAAGUUCAGAACUGAAGUUUGCAUGUAAUUCUACACUAAUAAAAGUUGCAGGGUGGUAAAAACUCCAAGAGGGAGCAAGGUGAAACAUUAACUCGCAAAAAAAUCUGGGC